UGCUGCAUGCUGCAUUUCGUUUGAAGAUAUUAGUCAUAGGUUAUGGCCUAUUUGUGGGUUUGAGACCUUGAUAUGGGCAAGAAGUGGUUGCCGAUUCUUCAACUUUGGUGUUUAGUUCGGAAACUUUUCCCCUCAUAGAUUCAAUGGCAUUCCAAAAGUUAAAUGAUUUCCAUUCAAAUUUAUUUUAAUAAAAUUCAGAGAUAAAUAUGUUCCAUUAGCAGAGGCAGGCAAUCUGUCAGUCCUGAUGGAAGGUCCGUCAGUCCGUCAUUGACUGACGCCCGUUUAGCUGACUCCCACUUCGCUGAAGAAUGGUGGAAACACCCACCACUUGUCCUGUAUGUUUGUUUGCGGGGGUGAAUAGACACCGGGUUUGCUGCAAAGAGACUGCAUUGAAUAUGGGGGCUCAGCUCAUUUCUCUAAUUGUAGCUUCCAGGAUACUCACACCUUACUCUUCUGUUUAGCACCUCACCAGAAAAUUUUGGGAGAAAUCCCUCAAAAUCACACGAUUACAGAUUUAAAAAUAAAUGAAUACAAAUAUUUGGGAAGAUAUACCAAAAUGAUUUCACAAGACGAUGUUGAAAUGCCGAAAAAAAAUCAAGAACAUGAACAUAGAUAUGCCAAAACUUGGAGCAAAAUUUCAGAAUAUAAAAUGUUUCACCUGGAAUUCUUGAAAAACGCAUUACUCAAUGUAAAACUUUUUCAAACAAACUUUUCGGGGAAAAUAUUACUUCAAUACUCGGUUUUACCUAAUUAAACCCCCUGGCCACGAUUCACAGGAAAAUGGCAUCUACCUUAACUCUGUGGAGAUUGCUGCUAUUAUAAUCCGCAAUGUAUUUCACUAUCGUCAGUCAAUUUCUUUCUGUGGCAGUUUCGGAAUUGCAAUAUGUAGUAUAAUCCUACUAAAUGCUCAUGGACCAGGCCGUCAAUCAUGAACAGUAUUUAGGCCAUAAGAGGCCACUGAAGCCAAAUUUACACUGUUAAACCUUGUGAACAAAAAUGAACCUCCCCCAUGCUUGGUCGGUCGCAAGGGCAGCCGCAAGGCUUCCGACAAAGCAGCCAUCACGACUUCUCUUUGGGUUUGUGUGGUGUGGUGGCUUGGCUUGGCAACUUUGCAUAGGUGUGAAGCCAAAAGACCACCCGCUGUUCUUUUUCUAUUCCAGUUGUUUUGGGGGCAUCAAAGGGCGAAAUAUUUAAUUAGAGUUUUUGCGAAAUGGACUGGACUGCAACUAAUUGAAGUUUUAGUGAUGCUGCACUUUGCAAAUACUUUGACUUUGACAAAGUGCUGCAACACUACUUUCCGCUCUAAACACCACCACUCUCUUUAGGACAUCUUUUAGUAUUGCGUGCAAAAUCAUAAUUACCAUCUAGCUUGCCUUGCUUUUAUGUGACAAAGGAGAGACAAUGGCAGGAACAAUAGAGCAAAAAGAGACAAUUUAAUUUCAUCUGGCGUUGCACUCGUCGCAAGCGCUUUUUAAAUUAUCUGCCGGCUGCUUCGGGGAACACGGGGGGGGGGGGGGGGGGCUGUGUCUGCAUCAAUACGGAUUGUUAGUGCCCACUUUUUUAUUUUUUUAAUUACAGCAGAAAUCGUAUUGAUGUAUCAUGUGCUACAUUAUUUAUGAAGCGAGAGAGAGAGCAAGAGUGCUAACAAAGCAUUUCUAAGAAAGCCACCUGCUCCCUAUCUAAAGCGAAUACUGUUAGUCGUUAAGACCGAGCGAGACGCUCGCAAAUCACACCGAUGAGUUCUAUGUCAAAGACAAGCUUGAUGCUGUAAAGAUAUAUAUCCGCCCGCAGUGGAUUCGCAAAUCCUCAAAGUUUGCAUGCAAAUCCAAUCGCGCAAGUCAAGCAUGAAGCCAAGCAUCUUACAUUCGUAAAAAUUGACAGGUACAAAUUUAGUGCAAGAGUAAAGAGAUGUCACUGGUGUUCUUGUUUAAAGCCUCGCUGACGUUUUCAAUUACGUGAAUGGUGGGACAAAAUUCAAUUCAUUGAAAUUCAGAUUGGGGGAAGCAUUCCAACAUCAUUUUGACUAAAGCUUUCAGGAAAAACAAAACAAAACAAUAAAGAAAGUAGAGUAAAACAACUCAAUCUAAAAUUGCAUGAGGAAAAAAAGUUUUGGGUGAAAAUACACACUCCCCCGCCACAGUGAAGCUAUUUCAAUAUGUAUCAAAGUGAAAAAAAAAACUAAAUCUGGGGCAAAAAUAUCCUCAAAAGCUAAAAAAAAAGUUGGGCAAAACAUACCAAAAGUAAACAAUUUGACACCGAAAAUGUCACCCCCACCCCCAACCCCUCUAAAAAAGUGGUACAAAUAUCCCACCAAAAUUAAAAAUAAACAAAUAAACCAAUCAUAUUUAAUACUACACCCCAAAAAGUUUAAAUCAACAUUUUUAAGAAAAAAAAACAUUUCACCAAAUACUUUCAGGAAUAUAAUAUAGUAAUGCUGCAUUCAUUGAAAAAAAAAAAAUUCUGUCAAACAUUCGGAUAAACAUUUCCUGGAAAGUCUAAUUCCACACUUUAUUUUGUAGCAAAUAUGCCCAAAAGACACACAAGUUUCAAACAAAAAUCGGGGGAGAAUCUUCUUCUAAAUUUCAACCCUUUUUGUGUGAAAAAAAAAACAUCGUAAAAAAGAGAACAUUUUCACAAGAUGCCAUUGAAUGAAUGAAUGAAUACUUUAUUGUCAUUGCACACUUGUUAUAACGAGAUUUUGCAGGAGCCUCCACCCCCAAGUGUAUCAUGAAAAAUAAAAAUAUAUAAAAAAGAUGAACAUGAAUACAUGUAGACUUGCACACAAUUACGUACAUAGACACAUUUAAAAAUUGAUAUUCAAUGUUAUGGAAUGGAUUUAAAAAAAAUUGUGACUAUACAAUGUUCAAGGACAUCACAAUGUGUGAACAAUUUUGAAAGAAGAUCUAAUUGUAUUUUUCCCCGUAAUAUUGUGCUUGCCAGUUAAUACGCGAUUAUUUUUGCCACGUCCUUUUCCCACUUUUUUUUUUUAAUCAACGUCUGCAUCUCAAGACACCAUAACUUUGGCACAGCGUGCCUCCAAAAUCAAACAAUUUAAGCCUUUCAUGCACCCUGUAACCCGAUAACAUGAUAGGCUGUCCACUAUAGUUUCUGGGAAAAAAAAUGUUUCCAGCCUGGAGCAAAUUAGUUCACUUUCUAUUAGUAUUUCCUCUACUAUGAAUACGUAUUUUGAAAUCAGAACAACUUGGAGGUCAACCAGGUUCGCGUACGCCUAUUAAGGCCUGUCGUCAGUCAAAUAUCAGCUUGCAUUGAGUCUACACGCGGAGCAAGGCAAAGCACUUAACAUGCAGAAGAAAGAACAGACGGUUUUCCAUUGGACUUAACGGCGCUGCAGCGAGAGCCUGUAUCAAGGUGCACUCGCUGGCGCUGCACGAGGUUCCUGCCCCCGACACCCCUUCUCUGUCCUUCCCCAUUCCUCUCUCUUCCUUCCCCUGUUGCAUUUCCCUGAUCUGGAUCUCUGUCCACAACCACCAGCACUAACACCAGCCACCACUAGUUCAGUUAAAAGUGGGCUGAGCACUUCCACCGCAGCCGCCUCCUCCGCUUCGAAAACCUCCAGCUCCAACACCUCCUCAUUUCCUGUCAAGGUGGGUGAAACCAACCUUCGCCCACGGAGUGCAGAUGCUUGACCUCGAUGUUUCCUCGUGAGACACAAAGAACAUUCUUCAGGGAAUUUAAUCGGUGUUAAAUAUAGUGCAACCUUCUAAGUCAAACUGGAUCGUUUCCUGGAUUCUAGUCGACCGGCAAGAAGAUUUGUAGCAAUUGUUUUUCAUCGGAAAGAAUAGAAACUGUCACCGUCCUCGAAAAAUAAAUAUAUGACUGACUCCAAUUCCAAUAGGUUCUAGUUAACUGUAAUUAUGUUGUGAUUCCGUUCGAUUUGGCUACAAUUUGGUCCAGUGACAAUCCAAUCCACUUAAACUACAAGAGCUGUCAUUCAAAAUUCCGAUGUAAUUCAUUUCAGAAAGUCAUAAUAUUCACUCCAAUCACGAUACAGUGCGAUUCACUUCAGUUGCGAAUUCGAUCCAAUACAAAUAAAUACCAUAAAACACAGUUCAUUCCAGUUUCAGUAUGAUGUAAUUCACCUCAAUUACGGUACAGUUCCCUCCAACUAAAAAACGAGUCACUCCUGAAACAAACAGCUCCACUUUACCAUGCAAUCUACGGUACUUUGAUUAGUAUAAGAUAUGGUGCAAUUCACUUUAGCUAUUCUGCAAUACAGUUUAACUUCAGCUACGAUUCAACUAACGUCCAAUACCACUAACGUAGUCCAUCGGACUCCAAGAUAAUAGUUUGCAUCUUUCAGAAAAGCAAAUUCUUAAAAGUGUCCCACCCCACUCACUCAAUCAAAACGUGUUCACAAUUGCAUUACUAAACAGUGAUGAAAACCAAAGUCAGGCAGUUUGUAUUGGUAGUUGUGUUUUUGUCUUCCAGCACAGGUUUAUUUUUUAAUGCGCUCAUAUACUCUUGUUGUUGUUUGGGCUUUCCACACGUUUGACACGUGGGGAGGGUGAAAGUUCACAAUGUGCCGUAUUGAUAAGAGGACGGGAUCAUUUUGGGAUUUGGGAUUGCUUUUCUUGCAUUUGGAUCUGACACAUGCCUCUCGCUUGCUGUCUCUUUCCAAGAUGAUUUGGAGCCUUGCAUAGUCAAUUAUGUUGAGAAAGGAACAGAGAGAGAGAGAUAGAGAAAGCGAGAGAGAUGGGGCACCAUAUUCCAUAUUUUGGCAGGAUAUUAAUAUUGCAUGAGAGCUGUUCUGUCGCGAAUAUCUAAGAGAGAGAGCCUAUUAAGGAGACAGGGAAAAAAUGUGGCACACAUACACACUGUAAGUACAUUGCUCCAUAGCACCCAUAAGCACGUUGUUUUAAUUAGUGUAUUCCAGAUUAUAAUAGGACGUGCCUCAAUUUUCCUUUUACUCGGCCAGCCCGGCUGAGUGAUGUACUGCUUUAAUUGCGCCAAGAAAGGCGUAUUUCAGGCAGUCAACUGUAUCAACAAAAAAAAGCAAAAAUAAGACAAUCCCCACCCCCCAAAAGUCCCAGAUAGAACUGUGAUACAUCAGAGAGGGAACAAUGGCAUGCCGGGAUAUUUAUUUUCUCUGCGUGAUGCAUACACUUCCUCACUGUCAGGCUUGGAUUUGGGCUACUAAGUGGCUCUGAUGCCGGAUGACUGACGGCUCCUUUCAGGUCUAUGAAGAUUGUCAAAAAGCAUGCAAGUGUAAUCAAACGAUUACAUUUCUAUGGAGUAUUAAUUUAAAAAAACAUUGCAACAUUGGGCUUUUGGGUGCACUCUAAAGACAUGAACAAGGCACAACAUUCUUUUUGUCACCCAUUCAAUCUUUACUUACUGUAUUUUGUGCACUGCAAGUCUGGGGAAAAAUAAACAUAAACACAUUCUGGAAAAAAAAUAUGCGUCAAAUUUCACGCAAAAUGUUAAAACCAGCCACAUUUUUGUGGGCAAAUGUGCAUAAAAAAUCAAUCGGUUCCAACAACAUUUGGGGAACAUUAUGACCAAACUUAAAACAAUUUCAACUUUAUGCGUACAAACAUGGUGCAUGUGAGUUUAACAAUCUCAGCCAAUGUUGGGGAAAAAAUAUGCCUCAAAAGUCAAGCAUAUAUCUUCUCUACCAAAAAAAAACUAAACUAAACUAAACCAAAAAAAAGUAGACGUGAAUUUGUUUUUUAUGGAUUUAAAAAGAAAUGAUUGGAUUUUUUUAAAAAGCAUGUUUUUAUUCAAAUCUUACAUGUCAAAUAAAGCUAAUGAAAAACACUUUAACAUAAUUAUUGUUGAUAUAUUUUGAAAUCGGAAUGACCCAAUAGGCAAAUCAUAUUUUUCCUACCGCAAACAUCGAAGACCUGCUCCGUCAUGCUCUUCUCCCAUUGCACAGCCCGCCUUAUAACCAGCUGAAAACACCCCCUGAGAGCCAUGGCCUAAAGUCGACACAGUCAGUUAGCCUUGGCACUCGGGGGGUGGGCGGGUGUCUACAUGCUGGGCCUCCGACACUGAACAAGUGCAUGGUGACCUCACAGCACCAGCUGGGCCUGGAAGACUUAUUUAAACGGCCAAUUCUCUGCGGUGGUAUCAUCGGCCAUGCUGCAAAUAAGGCCCUGCAAAAAACUGCAUGGAGGAAGCCAAUGAGCAUUAAGCAUGGAGGGGGGCGGGGGAGCAGAAAGAAACACAGUACACACGCACACACGCGCACGCACACACAUUCCCUGCCAUAUCAAUGUAGUUGGCUCUCUCUGAAAUUCAAAUGGGAAGAACCAAGGGAGGGAGGGGGGAGAAAAAGAGCCAAAGAUGAUGAAAAACGAGAAAGAAACCUCUGACUUAGAGGGGGAGGGGCCUUCCCCAGAAAAAGAAAAGCCUCCAUCUAUGUAUUAGUGCUCUGUAAAUAUUACAUGAGCUCUGCAUUCGUUCACUUGUUUGGCAUUACUUCCACUGGAUGGCUAUAUUAUUUUAGAAAGCAUGCCUUGUUUAUGGAGAGGCAUGACCUACUUCCACUUUCUCUCUCGCUCUGUGUAGUGCUUUCUCUUCCUCUCGUCUCCAAUCUGCGAAAAUCUGCACCGCUCGUCCCCGCUGAACAAUUACAAGGCAGCCGGAUUCAAAUGGAGAUGUUUGUAGAAAACAACAUGUGUAUAAUUACGCUUUAAUGAGCUCUUGUCAAGGCCAGCGUGCGCAAUUAGAUUGGUAAUAGAAUAUUCCGCCUGGAUGCGAGCGUGGCAGUGAUGGAGAGAGUGUCAAAUGCAUCCUGCGUGUCAGAAUGUAUUUUGUUGACACAACUGGAUGCAACGUUUAGAGUUUAAAGAACACUACACAGGCAUACUGUAAUUGUUUUCAACACCAUUGUGUGCACAAAUAGAAUAGCUUAUGGAUGUGUUCAGUCAAUGCGGGCUGUGUGUCCUACUGAAAAUGGGUGUGUGUUGACGAUAUUGAAAGCAAACCCUCAUUAUUCAUUCAGUUGCACUCGGUGGUCGAAUGUUUGAAAAAAAUAAAAAGAAAGAAAGAAAAAGCCUCUGACACCAGUUUCAUCAGUCAACGCGAAAUUGAGUGGAUGCGUCUAUCACAACAAGAUGCAUGAAAACAAAUUCUAAUUUUUUACUUUGAUGAACUCUCGCUGGGGAAUCCAACUCAACUUUUAUUUCGGAAGUAAAUCAAUUUUAAAUGUCCAUUGAGCGAACAUUAGCCAGGAAGAGUGACAGUGGCAUGCUAGCCUGUAGCUGAGCUAGCCAUCAUGCUUUCUCGCCGUGCUGUGUUUCACACUGUUCGUUAAUGCCGUAGUCUGUUGGGAGUGCUUUUAAACGCAGAUGAAAUACUCGCUGUUGAACUCUCUCUAAAUUGCUAUCGUUUGUCCAACCUGUAAGUCACAUGCAUUCAGACGUGGCCAAUUUACCAAAUUUUGCCGGUCCGUCAUUAGUCAUCCGUCAGCGGCCUGGGCACUCAUCCGCCAUCGUCAGUCCAUUUUUUUUCAAGCAAAACCAAACUACAAUCAUGUUAUUUUAACCGCGCUUCUGCCAUUGCUUCGUUCAGUCAAUUUCACCGGUCUGCCAGACGGUCUGUCGUCAAUCUGCCAGUCUUUCAAUCUCUCCAACCCCCCUUCUGAAAAAAAAAUCAUUAAAAUGGUAAAUAGGACUGCACUACACAUCAGUGUAUCUUCACCUUAUGGUGGAUACUCAAAGAGCUUCACACACUAACAUGCGCGCGCGCACACACACACACACAUACAUGCAUAUCACAUACACUUACUUGUCAAUCUAUUGAACUACUAAGUACAGCAGGAGCACUCCAGAAGCUGAUUUAACUACUAACCAAGGCAUUUUAAUUUAAAGUUUAAAAUGGCUUGCCUUAACCAGAAUACCGCUCUGCUUUGUGGCCAAGGGUAAAAUCCAAUCCAAGUCGCUUGCACUCCUACUCUUGUCUAUAAAUACUGGACGUCUUCUUUUUCUUCUUCUUCUUGGUUCAUUGAUGGAUUACAGCUCUUUGGUGCAUACCGACACCUACUGCUCCACCAUUUUGUUUUAUAUACACAGAAAAUGAAGAUAAUGCAAAUACAACUGAAUAGUGCGAAGAAAACUCUGAUUAUUGGCAUUCAAAGGCAAAUUCAGCGAUGGGCAAAGACGUCGGUGCAGUCCCGGACAUUUAAAUGAGUGGCAAAUAACCCAACAGACAAUUUAUUAAAGUUUUUACGCAGCCAAGAACAACGUGUGCCUGCUUCACAAUCAAUAAAUAAUGACACGACGUUCAGCAUUUUAUUCCGGCAGUGGACAAGCAAAUAAAAAGUGACCCCAGGUUUGCGGAAACCACACAUGAAUAAUGGAGCUACAAGCUCAAAUUCCGCGUGUGACUGUGACUUAUCGUUUCAAUUUCUCCGUCUUGCGCUCACGUGACGACUUGAGCCCAUGUUUCAUUAAAUCCAGUCAAUCCACUUGCAUAUAUCAUCACACCGCACAAUGGGAACCUUUCAAGGCCCCCCCCCCCCAGCCCAACUCCCGCAAAGGAUGCUGACAAAGCCCCCUCCCCUUUCUGCCUUCCCCAGUGAAGUCUACUAAUUCAGCCAGAGCCUCCACGUCAUGUUUUGUUUGACUGUGUGCGGAUCAGAGUGCAAUCAAGUUGAGAUAAAGCGAAAGCAGAAGAGGAGAAGACUCGCAUUUCUCGCUCUCUCUUUCUCAAGGUCUAGUGAAGUAAAAUAAUUUGUCUUCAGGAUGAAAGAGCACAAACGUAGAAAGAAAUGGCGAUGGGGGAUUAAAUGAGGGCACCUCACAUUCAAUAAAUACACUUGUUUGUAUGCCUCACUGUUUCUUUGCUACACCGGAAUGCUGAACAUUGAUUUUUAUGUUUCAAAUUGACUGGUUAUGAAAAUAAAAAAAUGAAGGCUUCACAAUUUUCGAAUACGACUCAGAAAUUAAAUAUGUAGCAAACGUUUCUUGUUGAGUAGCAGCAUACCAUUGUCCUUCAUUUCGUACACAGCUUACCUUGGCUAGUGACUAGUGACGUUCGCACAUCUGCCUCACCUUCCAGAGGUUGAGGGUUCAGAUUUUCUGAUACUCUGGCUUGCUACCAAACUCCAAAAAUGUGAAUGUUAGGUUCCUUCAAGACUUUAAAUUGUCAAAAGUUGUGAAUGUGAAUAUGACAGCGGGAAGAGAUUCAUGGAAAUAAAGUAGUGCAUACUGUCACCUUCCUAAAAUAAUGGCCAAUGUCAUUUUUUCAGGGUUUUUUUUGCCCCAAGUAAAACACACAGAAACCGAACCAAACACUUCAUAAUUUAUUUUCAGGGGUAGAAUUGAAUUAUCUGUUUAACUAAAGAUGUCAACGAUUUUAGCAGACGUAACCAGCAUCCUAAGAUAUUUGAGGCAAUUAUGUAGGCCAUUACACAUUCAGUUCCAGCCUUUUUCAGAGCCUUUUUUUUCAUAACUCUUGAAAAAAAUUGAAAAAUAUAUAUGUAUAAAUGAGUACCUGGGAUUGUGUGGAGUCUGAAAAGACAAAGAUACUCUCUAGAUACUCUGUCUUUUCAUAGAGUUAGAAUAUGGUGUUUGUAUUUCCUAAUCAUUGAAAGAACUUUAAUCAGUCAUAUCAUAUAAAUUACUAAAACAGCCUUUUUUUACCAGUUGUGUCACACCCGAGGGCUUGCAUGCUCUAAGGAACUAGCAGAAACUUAAUCAUGCUUUUAGAGUAUUUCCAGGAGAGUUAAUGAUUGUAAGAGCAUCAAACAGCCGCAAUUCACUCAGAGCAACCCGUUCUACUCCUGGUCUGUAAAUCACUGAAAGGUUUAGGUCAUGACUACAUGGUAAUUGAAUAGAAAUCCAGUCGGGCUUUGAGGUCUGCAGACUUGGGCCAAUUAGUGGAGCCCAUAGUUCAAAGUAAACGUGGUGAAGCGGCAUUUAGCUCUUAUGCUGCACACAAAUGGAAUAAGCUGCCAACAGAAGUGAAGUCAGACACUUUUAAAUCCAGGUUGAAAACGUUGUUCCCCCUCUCCCCCUAUACCUUUGAUUAAGGUCUUUAAACAUUUCUAAAUUGAUUUCAGAGUACAGUCUUUUAGUCAUUUUACAAACCUACUCUUAUUUCUACACUUUACUUUUAAAUGCUUUGAAUGUUUUUAAAGUCUUUUUGAGUGUUUGUUAUCAAUGCGCUUUGUAAUUUCAGCGAAGUCGUUUUUAUUUCUCUACUUUGCUUUUAAAUGUCUUAAAUUUGCCUUUAACUGUUAAUAUUGUUUUGUACCAAUGUGAAGCACAUUGAGUUAUCUUGUGCACAAAAUGCAGCAUAUCAAUAAAGCUGCCUUGCCUUGCCGUACCUUGCUUUAGCAUUUAGGGGUAGGGAAAGCAUGCGGUUGUUUUAAAUUGGAAGAGGGCGAGGGAGAAGGUGUCUCGAAUGUGAGCUCGGGGAAAGCUUGCACCUGAGUCAAGGUUGCAUAUGAACGAGGGGUUUGGGGGUUGCAGAGUGGCCAUAGCUUAUUAUCAGCAAUGCGUGAGCAUUGUUUUCUUGAUGGUAACAGCAGCACAAUGGCGCGAUUGUGCUACCAUGUGAAACCCUACACUUUGCCCGGCCCGGUGACGUUGGUGGGGCUGGGGGGGGGGCACGGGGGAUGGACUCGUUGAAGGAGCCAGAAAGAGUCAACUUGUCCAUCAAAACAAUGUAUCCAGGCCUACUCCGAUUCUCCAAAUAAAAUCCUCCCCCAAUCCCUUCUAUGGCUCUGCAACCUGCCUCAUUAUAUCAAAGCGUCAUUUGCAACCUCUUGAAAGCCCCUUCGGCGUGAUGGACAAGACCAUAAAGCCCGGCAAUAAAGCUAAGACGAAUGUUACAUCUUAACACUGAUAGAGGCAAUUAAGUCCAUCAUAAGCAGGGCGGGGUGGCGUCUUCUCCGGGGAGUCGUUCACUCCGCUUGCCUUCUUUUCAUUUCUCCCUUCAGCUCAUAGCUGACAGUCCAGUACAAAUUGAGCUUAUUUAUUGUUUGAUUUCCUGUUUGCGUGCGUCUCACUCCUUCCUUUCUUAUUUUUCCUACCUCUGCCUGUCAUGUUACACAUUUCCAGCCGAUGUUAUUAACUGCCUUCUUUUGAAAAUUUGUAUUUUUUUACGGAGACCAAUUAAUUGUAUUUAAUAUUAACAUUUUAUUUGUUUAUUCUUUAUUUUCUUGAGAGAGAGAUUCUUUUUUCAUUCAAAUAGCUCAUUUUGUUCAACUCAUACAUUUUUGGUUUGCCAUAUAAUCGAUAUGAGGGCACUUUUGUUUAAAAGUUAUUUUUUAAAUAAUAAUAUAAUCAAAAUUCUGUAUAGUUUUUAUACGAUUAUUAGUGUCCUUCCUUUUUCCAUUUUUGUCAUGUGGACACAUCAGAGGUAUUCUUAUUGUAUUAUUUUGUAGCUGUUAAUUUUUACUUUUCAAUUUUAAAAAAUUAUCAUUUAUGUAAGCACACGUGAUUUUUCUUCCCCCCUGUAAACCUAACGAAGACCAUAUUUCCCUGUGCUCCGUAGGUCCUGUGGGUGUGGAUUUUGUGAUGGGGAAAAAAAUAAAUAUCAUAGGAAGUGUUAUCUUCAUCUGGCAGGGAUCAGCGCUGUGUAUUAUUGGUCAGGUCCUAUUACACAGACAGUGCGGUAGUGUUUGCAGAGAAUAUAUCACGUUCAACAUGCACAUGAGGCAGACACACACACACACAUACACACACACACACACACACACUCGCACACUCAUAUGGAGGUGAAAUGCAGCAGUGGAUAUAUUGACAAAGGCAAUCCAUAUCUACUGUGCAGCGCACCAUCCCCCAUUACUCUCUCUGUUUGGUUAUGCAUGCAUUUGUGUGUGUGUGUGUGUGUGUGUGUGUUUGUGCGUGCAGCCAGUCACUGUGAAUGCUCUCAUGACCACAGUCCUGACGCAGGUAUUUGGACUGCUGUCACUUUGCAUCAUAUUGUCAAGUAAUGGCGGCACUACAUUUGUGGGGGAAGUGGGGUACAGACGCAGUUUUGGGCAAGAAAUACUGAACAAAUCCACUUUCAAAUGACAAAUCCGGUUGCCUGUGUUGGUUGCGUCAAACCCUGUUUUACCGACUCAACUUCAGCUCAUCAAAUGUGAAAGAAAAGAUGCGGCUGAACACUCGUAUUAUUAUAAUUUUUUUCAUUCCAUAAUCGACAUUUUUGACUGUGCCGUUUUAUUAUUUUAUCCCCCUCUCAUAUGUACUUCUACUGCUACUAUGCAAACAAGCGUCUGUGGUGUCGGCUCAUUCGCGUCCUCGUUCUCAAAGUCAUCACUUCCAUCCAUCCGUCUCUCUAUUCAGCCAACCGUUCUUCUCUGCGUGUCUGUUUUCUUCCCCUCCAUUGUGUUGAACGCUGUGAUUGAUGACCUCUAAGCCCGGGGAACGCAAACACACAAUGAAACGAUGAGCUGUGCCAUUCGCUCUUUGCCAUGCGUCAACAGGUUCACAGCGAGUAUGGUGGGACGACUGGAGAAAAUAUCGAUGCGCAACAGUUUUGGGGUGAUAAACACAUCGCUCCUGUACGGUGGUUUCAAUUAUUGAGGUCACCCAGUAACCAGGAUGAUUCAGUCUUUUGUUGAGGAGGUAUAUUGUUAGGGCUACAAGUUCGAAUUUUACGAGUAAAAGGUACUUUUUAAAAAAAUUUUUAGAUUGUAGAUUUUUAAAAAAGAAAACAAAAACAGCCUAAAAGGGGCGUGUAUGACGUAAUGCAUAAGAAGUCGUAAUCUUAUAUUGUAAGUCAAAAUAUUGCAAACAACAAGUUAAAAUUGUUUUUUUAAAGGCUUGUUUGGGAGCGCGUUGCACCCCACUGGGCGUUCCAGCGGACACAGCCGUCACGCCCCCGUAGCAUCUGGCAACUUGAUGAAGUAGACUAGAUUUGAGACUUGCUAAAAGCAGGUCUAAGCGGUGGCACGGGUGAUGUAACAUGAUUUGGGUGCAUUUGAUGGUGGCGUAGGCAGACAGAUUUCCUUUUUUGUGGAAUCUCUAGAUGACAGGUCUUGGCCGAGCUUUUUUGGAUUUUUUUGUUUUUGUUUUCUGUGUUAAUGCUACGCUAAGCCACUUGGAACAUGUGGAAAUAAGAGAAUAAGAGAAUCUCAGUCAAAAAAAUAAAAUAAUAAAGAA